rnacentral:rRNA from 1 species
AGUGAACGCUGGCGGUAGGCCUAACACAUGCAGGUCGAACGGCAGCACAGUAAGAGCUUGCUCUUACGGGUGGCGAGUGGCGGACGGGUGAGGAAUACAUCGGAACCUACUUUUUCGUGGGGGAUAACGUAGGGAAACUUACGCUAAUACCGCAUACGACCUACGGGUGAAAGCAGGGGAUCUUCGGACCUUGCGCGAUUGAAUGAGCCGAUGUCGGAUUAGCUAGUUGGCGGGGUAAAGGCCCACCAAGGCGACGAUCCGUAGCUGGUCUGAGAGGAUGAUCAGCCACACUGGAACUGAGUCACGGUCCAGACUCCUACGGGAGGCAGCAGUGGGGAAUAUUGGACAAUGGGCGCAAGCCUGAUCCAGCCAUACCGCGUGGGUGAAGAAGGCCUUCGGGUUGUAAAGCCCUUUUGUUGGGAAAGAAAAGCAGCAGGUUAAUACCCCGCUGUUCUGACGGUACCCAAAGAAUAAGCACCGGCUAACUUCGUG